rfam:Angiostrongylus costaricensis strain Costa Rica genome assembly, scaffold: ACOC_scaffold0000186
UCACUGGUGGUUCAGUGGUGGAACGCUCGCCUGCCAAGCGGGCGAGCCGGGUUCGACUCCUGACUAAUGCA